GACGAACGCUGGCGGCGUGCUUAACACAUGCAAGUCGAACGGAAAGGCCUCUUUCGGGGGGUACUCGAGUGGCGAACGGGUGAGUAACACGUGAGUAACCUGCCCUUGACUUUGGGAUAACUUCAGGAAACUGGGGCUAAUACCGGAUAGGAGCUCCUGCUGCAUGGGGGGGGUUGAAAAGUUUCGGCGGUUGGGGAUGGACUCGCGGCUUAUCAGCUUGUUGGUGGGGUAGUGGCUUACCAAGGCUUUGACGGGUAGCCGGCCUGAGAGGGUGACCGGCCACAUUGGGACUGAGAUACGGCCCAGACUCCUACGGGAGGCAGCAGUGGGGAAUAUUGCACAAUGGGUGGAAGCCUGAUGCAGCAACGCCGUGUGCGGGAUGACGGCCUUCGGGUUGGAAACCGCUUUCGCUCAUGACGAAGCUUUGUGUGACGGUAGUGGGUAAAGAAGCACCGGCUAACUACGUG
rnacentral:rRNA from 1 species